rnacentral:rRNA from 1 species
UUUUUCUGGAUUGGGAUGGGCUCGCGGCUUAUCAGCUUGUUGGUGGGGUGAUGGCUUACCAAGGCUUUGACGGGUAGCCGGCCUGAGAGGGUGGUCGGUCACACUGGGACUGAGAUACGGCCCAGACUCCUACGGGAGGCAGCAGUGGGGGAUAUUGCACAAUGGACGCAAGUCUGAUGCAGCGACGUCGUGUGGGGGAUGAAGGCCUUCGGGUUGUAAACUCCUUUCGCCUGCGGAAAAGGCAGGGUUUUGGCCUUGUUGAUGGUAGUGGGUAAAGAAGCGCCGGCUAACUACGUGCCAGCAGCCGCGGUAAUACGUAGGGCGCGAGCGUUGUCCGGAAUUAUUGGGCGUAAAGGGCUCGUAGGCGGUUUGUCGCGUCUAGCGUUUAAGGCUCGGGCUUAACCCGGGUUUGCGUUGGGUACGGGCAGGCUUGAGUGCGGUAGGGGUAACUGGAAUUCCUGGUGUAGCGGUGGAAUGCGCAGAUAUCAGGAGGAACACCGGUGGCGAAGGCGGGUUACUGGGCCGUUACUGACGCUGAGGAGCGAGAGCGUGGGGAGCGAACAGGAUUAGAUACCCUGGUAGUCCAUGCUGUAAACGUUGGGCACUAGGUGUGGGGGCUGGUUUCAUGGUUUCCGCGCCGUAGCUAACGCAUUAAGUGCCCCGCCUGGGGAGUACGGCCGCAAGGCUAAAACUCAAAGGAAUUGACGGGGGCCCGCACAAGCGGCGGAGCAUGCGGAUUAAUUCGAUGCAACGCGAAGAACCUUACCAAGGCUUGACAUGCACCGCGAGACUGCAGAGAUGUGGUUGCCUUCGGGGUGGUGUGCAGGUGGUUGCAUGGUUGUCGUCAGCUCGUGUCGUGAGAUGUUGGGUUAAGUCCCGCAACGAGCGCAACCCUUGUCUCAUGUUGCCAGCACGUUUGGGUGGGGACUCGUGAGAGACUGCCGGGGUUAACUCGGAGGAAGGUGGGGAUGACGUCAAAUCAUCAUGCCCCUUAUGUCUUGGGCUUCACGCAUGCUACAUUGGUGUCUACAGAGGGUUGCUAUUCCGUGAGGUUGAGCGAAUCUCUUAAAGGGCAUCUUGGUUCGGAUCGCAGUCUGCA